UAAUUUGCGCCGUGGCGAUAUCGUAACCAAUGAAGUUCUACUGAGGUGCGAUUAUUGCUAAUUGAAACUUAAUUCGUUUUAAUUCCAAUAUUCAUGCCUAUUUUUUGUUAACUGAAGCCGAUUACUGUAGACUACUGUCUAUUAUUAG